ACACAUGCAGUCGAGCGGAAACGAUGGGAGCUUGCUCCCAGGCGUCGAGCGGCGGACGGGUGAGUAACACUUAGGAAUCUACCUAGUAGUGGGGGAUAGCUCGGGGAAACUCGAAUUAAUACCGCAUACGUCCUACGGGAGAAAGGGGGCAACUUGUUGCUCUCGCUAUUAGAUGAGCCUAAGUCGGAUUAGCUAGUUGGUGGGGUAAAGGCCUACCAAGGCGACGAUCUGUAGCUGGUCUGAGAGGAUGAUCAGCCACACCGGGACUGAGACACGGCCCGGACUCCUACGGGAGGCAGCAGUGGGGAAUAUUGGACAAUGGGGGAAACCCUGAUCCAGCCAUGCCGCGUGUGUGAAGAAGGCCUUUUGGUUGUAAAGCACUUUAAGCAGUGAAGAAGACCAUAUGGUUAAUACCCAUAUGCGAUGACAUUAGCUGCAGAAUAAGCACCGGCUAACUCUGUGCCAGCAGCCGCGGUAAUACAGAGGGUGCAAGCGUUAAUCGGAAUUACUGGGCGUAAAGCGAGCGUAGGUGGCUUGAUAAGUCAGAUGUGAAAUCCCCGGGCUUAACCUGGGAACUGCAUCUGAUACUGUCAGGAUAGAAUAGGUGAGAGGAAGGUAGAAUUCCAGGUGUAGCGGUGAAAUGCGUAGAGAUCUGGAGGAAUACCGAUGGCGAAGGCAGCCUU
rnacentral:rRNA from 1 species